CGAUCCGGCGGGCUUAGACGCAUAAAGACCCAAAGAACCGGGGGAAAGAACCAACCAACCCCACCCCACCGGUCCCCGUCGCUCGGUCGGGUGAACUGUGCCAACUGAGCUGGAUUUGGGGCCGGUUGGCGGGCAUAUGCUCGCCCCGACAACAGCAGACAUGAGACGGCCCCCGGCGGGACUGGCAUCCCGGUCGAGGGCCUGACCAUCUUAGGAAGUGGCUCGCUUCCCC
rnacentral:ncRNA from 1 species